rnacentral:lncRNA from 1 species
CUUUCAAGGUUUCACCUCCUUCCCUCCUGGUUUGGUGUGGUUAUCUUUCUUCAGCUACAGCACCAAGAACGAUUGUGCAUCGACCAGAACCUUGUAGUCUGGCACUUCCGGCUUCAUAAUCUGUUCCUGUGACAAUGUUACCAACUUUGUCCCACAUGGAUGGUCUGCCAUCUCUGCAUUUCUGGAAAAGUUAUGGCACACCGCCGACAUCUGGAACAUUUGUGGAAUAUUAGGAACGCCACCCCUGAAACAGUGGAUACGUCUCUGGAUCUCGGCAGCACUUUUCUGAGCUCAGUGACGAACUACGUGACAUUUCGUCGCAUAGGUCCAGCACUUCACAAUUCAGUGCAGAACAAGGAGUAUCUGACCAUGAAAUGCUCCCGACUUUCUGAGGCUGGUGUUGCUGUCCAGUGUAUGAAAACUGAUGAAGUAAAAAGUUGCAAAGUA